UCUGGGCCCUGUUCUGCCAGGCGCUGAAGAGACCCCAGGGUGCAGAAUAACAUCCACGUUUUGCCCCAAAUCAACCCCUCCUCCCAGCAGGAAGGAAAUGGCUGCAGUGGAGCUGGCUCAGGGGCCAGUGACCUUCGAGGAGGUGGCUGUG